GCAAACUUGGUCAUUUAGAGGAAGUAAAAGUCGUAACAAGGUUUCCGUAGGUGAACCUGCGGAAGGAUCAUUAGCGAAAAAAAGUCUUGGAUGUUGCUGGCAUUCGUUUGCAAGUGCACUCCUUGAACUUUCUUUUGGCACCUCCAUUCACACCUUUUGUGCACGACCCUGUAGGUUGGUAAAAAACCAGCCUAUGUUUUUUCUCCCAUCUCAACACACCGUUCUAUAUGUUAAACGAAUGCGGCAUUUGAUAAAGUAAUAUAACUUUCAACAAUGGAUCUCUUGGUUCUCGCAUCGAUGAAGAACGCAGC
rnacentral:misc_RNA from 1 species